rnacentral:rRNA from 1 species
ACCCGCUGAACUUAAGCAUAUCAAUAAGCGGAGGAAAAGAAACCAACAGGGAUUGCCUCAGUAACGGCGAGUGAAGCGGCAACAGCUCAAAUUUGAAAUCUGGCCUUUUAGGUCCGAGUUGUAAUUUGUAGAGGAUGUUUCGGGCUUCGGUCUGGUUUAAAUUUCUUGGAACAGAAUGUCAGAGAGGGUGAAAAUCCCGUCUUGAACCAGCUCCCGGGUCCAUGUGAAACUCCUUCGACGAGUCGAGUUGUUUGGGAAUGCAGCUCAAAAUGGGUGGUAAAUUUCAUCUAAAGCUAAAUAUUGGCCAGAGACCGAUAGCGCACAAGUAGAGUGAUCGAAAGAUGAAAAGCACUUUGAAAAGAGAGUUAAACAGUAUGUGAAAUUGUUGAAAGGGAAGCGCUUAUGACCAGACUUGUGUACGAGGGUUCCCCCUUCCUUUUGGUUGGGCUACUCCCUCGUGUCCAGGCCAACAUCGGUUUUGGUGGUCGGUUAAAGGCCUCGGGAAUGUAUCUACUCUUCGGGGUCGACUUAUAGCCCGGGGUGUCAUGCGACCCACCGAGACCGAGGAACGCGCUUCGGCGAGGAUGUUGGCGUAAUGGUUAUCAGCGACCCGUCUUGAAACACGG